AACGCACGAGACCUGCGGACCUGCGGAGGGAUCAUUACUGAGUGAGGGCCCCUCGGGGUCCAACCUCCCACCCGUGUUUAACGAACCUUUGUUGCUUCGGCGGGCCCGCCUCACGGCCGCCGGGGGGCUCCUGCCCCCGGGCCCGCGCCCGCCGAAGCCCCCCCUUGAACGCUGUCUGAAGUUUGCAGUCUGAGAAACUAGCUAAAUUAGUUAAAACUUUUAACAAUGGAUCUCUAGAUC
rnacentral:misc_RNA from 1 species